UGCGUAGGCGGACUAAUAAGUCAGUGGUGAAAUCUCGCGGCUCAACCGGGAAACUGCCAUUGAUACUGUUAGUCUUGAGUUCGGUUGAGGUAGGCGGAAUGUGUAAUGUAGCGGUGAAAUGCUUAGAUAUUACACAGAACACCAAUUGCGUAGGCAGCUUACUAGACCGACACUGACGCUGAGGCACGAAAGCGUGAGUAGCGAACAGGAUUAGAUACCCUGGUAGUCC
rnacentral:rRNA from 1 species